UCCUGCUAAGAGUGGCCUUAGACCACGCAGUGUGAUGAUGGCACCACUUAAAGUACAAUUUGCCUCAGUUAACAAUAAUUCCUAUCGGCUCAAAUAUAAAGAUCUCCAUUCUGUUCAUGAAAAGGCAAACAAAGCAAAUGUAUGUUAAAUGUUACCAAGUAUUUUUGUUUGGCUGGAAGGUCAUUUUGCCAAGCAUCAAACCAAACCAAGCACACAGAAAUGUAGUCAAUGCCUUCUCAUUUAAGAAAUAGUCUUGCCGUUACAAGUAUGCUUAGCAGUUCAAAGAAGUACAGCAGUCUUUGGUGAUGUGUAUUUCAGAAAAGAAUUGAACUACUGAUCCCAUCUAUAGAACUCACCAAAAAAAAUUACAGAACCAAAAAUCUUGUAAUCAUGUACAAACAGCUCUUCACAUAUAUUUCAACAAAGUUGUAUAGAAUCAGAUAAUACCUCUCUCAAUAAAAAUGGUAGCAGAAUGCAAAAUUGAGCUUGUCUGCAGCAUGCCUUGUUCUGCACUACAGUUAGGCUUCAUUCUCUCCUACAUAUAAUAAACUUCCCCCCACCCGCGCAGCUGGGGGAGGGAAGUGGAUUUGCCCCCUCCCAACGAAGGAGAGACUUCUGGAAGGGGGAAGCACUUUUGGAGCUUCGACAUGAGAGGAUCCAAAAGUGGGAGCUCCUGUCCCUUGGUGCUGAGGUCCAGGAGAGAGAGCGUCGAGGGAGAAUUCCCCUUUUUUCAUCUGUUUGUACUACAGCUUCGAGGUCUGUAUGGGGCUGGUGAGAGGCUGAGGCAGGGGAGCCAGGGUUAGCCUUGGCUGCCUCUGGGCUUCUCACUCGACAGCAACUAAUUUAUCUUUUAAAGUUUAAGUUCUUCAUUCCCCCUUCUUUCUUGAAGGCUUGGGGCGGAGGUGGGUGCGCGCAGAGUCCGCGCGCCUCAUCUCCGUUCCUCCUUUCCUUCUUUAUGUUGUCCCGGGGAUUGUCCUGGCUGAUUGGGCGAUCUAGCCGGGGCUUUAGUUUUUUAGGAUUAUGGGAUGACUGGUCUUUAUUUUCACUGGUUUUAUUUAAGGGUGGUUUGAGUGAAUGAGUUUAAACUGGUUUGAUUGUUACGGUCUAUGGUUCGUUAUGUAUUGGAAGAUAUGAAUUUAGUGGUCGCCAUUUUGAGGUUUGAUUUCGUCGAGGUGUUGCCGGGCAGAUUUAGGAGUGGUUGUGAUGCAAUUUUGCCAUUUUAAAGGGUAACACUUGGGAGAGGUGUUGCUAGGCAGAUUUGGAUAGCGGUUGUAGUUUAGCGUUUCUGGCUUGUUGCUGGGCAGAUCUGGAUGGCAGUUAGGGACUGGUGUUGCAUUUGAAUUUCGCGCCCCUUUUUGCUGUCUUUUUCCCCGCGCUUUUAUGCAGGCAGCCAUAUUGGUCGCCAUUUUGUUUAAGGGCAUGGCAGCCAUUUUAAUUCCUGGCUCCAGCAGCUGGAUUAGGCUCGGCGGCCAUCUUUAUUAAGGGAUUAUAUAUCAAAUGGACGGGCGGCCAUUUUAGUUGUGGGAAUGCUAGUUAUACUUAGCGGUGGCCAUUUUUAACUCGUCGGCCAUCUUUGUUAAGGGCAUUGAAGCCAUUUAGGGAGUGGCUUGUCCACCAUUUUGUUUUAAGCCAUUACUUGGUUUGUGUGACGGCGGCAAUGUUUAGUUUGGGCAAACGGCCAUUUUGUCUGCACGGUGGCCAUUUUUAUUUGGGGCAAUGGGUAGUUUAGUUAGGGAUUGCAAUCAAAUGCAUUUGUAAGUUAUAAAUUCAUUGAUAGCAUUAAUUCAUUGGGGUUAUGCCUAGCUAUAUUAAUUACUGCAGCAAUAAAUUUGGAUUGAUUGAUGGAUGAAUUGAUUAUAAGAUGAUAUCCAUUUUAAAUAUGUUUAUAUGUACAUAUAUUUUGGAUAAUAUUUAUAAUUAUAUGUAUUUUUAUAAAUGGAUGAUUUGUGCUUCAAUUAAUUUGGUAAUACUUUAAUGAAUUAAUUAUUCUAUUUAUAUGCAUUGAUAUAUUUAUUGAUUUAUAUUAUAUAUUGGUAAUUAUAAUCAAAUUGAUGUGUGGUUGGUCUUGUGACUCUGGUGGGGUCCGUGGACAACUCUGGUUCUUUGGCUUUGAAAUGGUUAGAAAUUGGCUCAGCCUCUCCCAACCACCCCCCCCCUACUGUUUCCUUCAUUGAAUCUAUAAUCUUGGAACAUUAUUUGGUCUUACUGGUUUUCUUAUUUUACAGUAUGCCACCAAAGAAGUACAUAGGGGGGCCGAAGGGCGAGGGCCCUGCGAAGAAAGUUUCUGCAAAGCGCCCUGCUCCACCAAGUAUUCCGGCAGACGAGGAAGAAGAUUCAGCACGGUUGUUGAAAGUGCUGGUUGCCCGCAUUGAGUCGCUGGAAAGAGAGAAAGCAGCGGCUGCUGCUUCUGAAGCGCAGAAGUCUUGUGGGGGCAGUAACACUGUGCUAAUAAAGUCCUUAUUUUCCCAUAUUUCUGCCUUAGAAAGGGAAAGGCGAACCGGGGUGCCUGUCACUGAUGAGAGCUUGGUUACAUCAACGCCGGUGGCCGCAGAAGCUGUUCCAUCUACUCCGGCGGCAGCAGUGGAGACGAGAAGUGUUGCAACAGUUUUAGAACCUGUUCUGUUGGCAAAUAGACGUCGCGUCCUGAUUCGUGGGCACAGCUACGUACACUGAGCUGAGCGACAGGCGUACAGGGGUCCCUACGGCCAACUUCACAGCCUCGCUUCCAUGGCAUUUGUGGAGAGGAGGGGAGGAAGAGGCCUUUUUGUGCUGUUAAUGAUUUGGGUCUGCCAAUGGGCAGGGGCCUGUUUUAUACAAGUUUAUGAAUGGCAUGCACAAGGUAAAGGAAUGUGUUCCCUCUUACACGCUUGUCAUGGCCAUGUUUUUACAGAUUCGAUUGGCAGGCACAAGCUAAAGGAGUGUGUUCCCUCUAACACGCUUGUCAUGGCCCUAUUGGUACAGGUUCGAUUGGCAUGCACAAGGUAAAGGAGUGUGUUCCCUCUAGCACGCUUGUCAUGGCCAUGUUUGUGCAAUUUUUGAAUGACAUGCACAAGUUUUGAGAGGUUUGGCCUCGAACUGGCUUAGCAUGGUCAGCAAUCAUUUCUAGUACAAUCAGGCCCUUCGAAAAGUUUUAAAGAAUGGCAUAGGUUAUUGUAUCCCUCAUGACAACAUUAAGUUCAAUGAUUCGAAUUUGUAUCGGGCUGAUGGGAUCCAUCUAUCCGAACUGGGCAACCAAAUUUUCUUAGCUGACCUGCAGAAAGGAAUUAGGGAAAUUCUUGCGAAUUUGGUGGGGGUCAGGAGCUAAAUAGACAUUUGCUCCUGAACUGUGGCGGAAUGCUUAGGGGAAUCUCUUAUUUUGGUGUGCACCACAAGGCACCUCUGUUUUGGUGUUGGCCAGAGGUGUGAAUCCUCGCUUAGGGUUUGUACAGCCCCGGCGAGGGUGAACGAUUAUGGUCUUGGAAUGGGAGACUUUGACCUCAUUUGUUUCGGAGGCAAAACUCUCCAAAACAUUCCCCUUUAGGUCAUCCAGGUUUAGAUAGACUGGGGACCUGGUGUUUCACCCUAAAUUCAGUCUUAAUGGAUGGUCGGGUAUGACCACUGAUAUUGGCUUAUGCCUUACCAAAUUCUUAGAUGGCUAAGGAUUUUUGGCCCUAGUUCCAAAUUAAAGUUAAAUAGGUAACUAUCAAUAAAGUUGCCCAGUUUUAAACCCAAGUUGACUUGUCUUCUCUCGUUAUUUUGGAGGGUUGGAGGGCAAUAAACUUCCCCCCACCCGCGCAGCUGGGGGAGGGAAGUGGAUUUGCCCCCUCCCAAUGAAGGAGAGACUUCUGGAAGGGGGCGGAGCUUCUAGGAAGCUGCCUGCCUCUUGGUUCACUCACUUUUGGAGCUUCGACCCACCCGCCCGCCGCUAACAGUAUAGCAGUAGUGUGGUCGCUUAGAUGGGCCGGGUAGGAAUUUUUUCCCUCCCAUGUUCUGGCAGGGUUUUUCGCCUACCCUAUACUGUGUGGAGUGGUAAAUUGGGAGGUGUGGUCAUUUAAUUAGGUGGUCAGCGGAAUGCUUAGGGGAAUCUCUUGUUUUGGUGUGCACCACAAGGCAACUCUGUUUUGGUGUUGGCCAGAGGCGUGAAUCCUCGCUUAGGGUUUGUACAGCCCCGGCGAGUGUGAACGAUUAUGGCCUUGGAAUGGGAGACUUUGACCUCAUUUGUUUCGGAGGCAAAACUCUCCAAAACAUUCCCCUUUAGGUCAUCCAGGUUUAGAUAGACUGGGGACCUGGUGUUUCGCCCUAAAUUCAGUCUUAAUGGAUGGUCGGGUAUGACUACUGAUAUUGGCUUAUGCCUUACCAAAUUCUUAGAUGGCUAAGGAUUUUUGGCCCUAGUUCCAAAUUAAAGUUAAAUAGGUAACUAUCAAUAAAGUUGCCCAGUUUUAAACCCAA